UACUGUCCUGUGUUCUAAUCGUCGAAAUUGCGAAGCAAAACAAAAACAAUUAACUAUUUUAACUAUUUUAACAUCAAGAAGUGGACUACCGAAACACCUCCAUACAGCUAUGCAUUCCCGCCACUACUGGGAACAGGCAUUACUUUCUUUGUUGAACAAGAGAACCCCAACAACAUCGAACUUUUGAAAAUUAAAAAACAGACCCCGCCAGGUAAACAGUACAGAGGACAAACCCUGUGGAUGAACCUCUCCGCAACACAACGAAAUGCUAUAAAUUUUUGGCUUUACAAUCUCCUGUAGAUGUGGAGCCGACGAGCGUCACUAAAAUCGGAAAAUGAUUAUCAAAAACUUUUCCAGCAUUGUAACGGAUGGACAUGUAUAAAAUGGGGCCCUUUAAAUCAUCUAAUGAAACAGAAAGGCUUAUGCCUUCCAGAAACAAACUGAAUCCAAGCAUUUCUACAUACGCCCAGCUCAAAUCUCACGAAAAACGGUUCUUCUCAGUUCCUGAUUUGAAGACAAAAAAACGAAGCACUGAGAACACCCUUCACCAACUCACAUCAAAAUGAAACUGUUGGCGGUCAGCUGACCCUCUAGUAAAACUAUCAUACGAACCAGAUCAAUAUUUUCUACACUCAACCCUCAAAUCGACGAUUAUUCCAUGAUCCUACUAAGGCCAUUUUGGGUUUCUUCAACAGUACGUCGACUUGGAAAUUGCUCGAUGUGUCAACGUGCUCAUUCCGGGACCAUACUCCAUUUUAGCAUUUAGCCAUGAGGUUCAGAUCAACAUCAAAUGAAAAUUCUUUGCAACUUCUUAGUUUCGAAUUCAAUUCAAUCAAAUUCAAUUAUUUAAUUCUAAUAUAAAAAAACAAAUUUCAGGUACAGUGAAUGAACUGUUAUAGAAAUGCAACAUGUGCUACAUCAUAAAAUCGUAUUUAAAUGUUAUUAAUUCACAAACAGAUUCAGUUAACAGCAACGAAUUUUGGACCAGCUAAAAAUAACAGCUCACUUGUCCGUUAAACGAAUAAUUUCUACUCGGACUU